AGAGUUUGAUCAUGGCUCAGAGCGAACGCUGGCGGCGUGCCUAACACAUGCAAGUCGAACGUGAAAGGGAGCAAUCCUGAGUAAAGUGGCGUACGGGUGAGUAACGCGUAGGUAAUCUACCCCAGAAUCUGGAAUAACCUGCCGAAAGGCGGGCUAAUACUGGAUAGAGCGAGAAAUCCGCAAUUGGGUUUUUCGGGAAAGGGAGCCCGCAAGGGCCUUUGUUCUGGGAUGAGCCUGCGUCUCAUUAGCUAGUUGGUGGGGUAAUGGCCCACCAAGGCAUUGAUGGGUAGCUGGUCUGAGAGGAUGAUCAGCCACACUGGAACUGAAACACGGUCCAGACUCCUACGGGAGGCAGCAGUGGGGAAUCUUGCGCAAUGGACGAAAGUCUGACGCAGCCACGCCGCGUGAGUGAAGAAGGCCUUCGGGUUGUAAAGCUCUGUCGUGCGGGACGAACAUUUCUGAGGUGAAUAGCCUCAGGAACUGACGGUACCGCAAAAGGAAGCACCGGCUAACUUCGUGCCAGCAGCCGCGGUAAUACGAGGGGUGCAAGCGUUGCUCGGAAUUAUUGGGCGUAAAGGGUAGGUAGGUGGUCUCAUUUGUCUGGGGUGAAAGCCUUGGGCUUAACUCAAGAAGUGCCCCAGAAACGGUGAGACUGGAGUCCUGGAGAGGCGUGGAAUUCCCGGUGUAGCGGUGAAAUGCGUAGAGAUCGGGAGGAACACCAGAGGCGAAAGCGGCGACCUGGACAGGUACCGACACUCAACUACGAAAGCGUGGGGAGCAAACAGGAUUAGAUACCCUAGUAGUCC
rnacentral:rRNA from 1 species